UACGGAGGGUGCAAGCGUUGUUCGGAAUCAUUGGGCGUAAAGCGCGUGUAGGCGGCUUGGCAAGUCAGUUGUGAAAGCCCGGGGCCCAACCCCGGAACUGCAUCUGAAACUGCCUGGCUAGAGUCCCGGAGAGGAAGGCAGAAUUCCCGGUUUAGGGGUGAAAUCCGUAGAUAUCGGGAGGAAUACCAGCGGCGAAGGCGGCCUUCUGGACGGUGACUGACGCUGAGACGCGAAAGCGUGGGGAGCAAACAGG
rnacentral:rRNA from 1 species